rnacentral:rRNA from 1 species
GGCAGCAGCAGGGAAUCUUGCGCAAUGGGCGAAAGCCUGACGCAGCGACACCGCGUGGGGGAUGAAGGCCUUCGGGUUGUAAACCCCUUUCAGGAGGGAUGAAAUUGACAGUACCUCCACAAGAAGGACCGGCCAACUACGUGCCAGCAGCCGCGGUAAUACGUAGGGUCCGAGCGUUAUCCGGAAUCAUUGGGCGUAAAGAGCUCGUAGGCGGUUCAGCAAGUCGGCUGUGAAAGUUCGAGGCUCAACCUCGAAAUUGCAGUCGAUACUGCUGUGACUCGAGUCCGGUAGAGGAGAAUGGAAUUCCCGGUGUAGCGGUGAAAUGCGCAGAUAUCGGGAGGAACACCAGUAGCGAAGGCGGUUCUCUGGGCCGGCACUGACGCUGAGGAGCGAAAGCGUGGGGAGCAAACAGGAUUAGAUACCCUGGUAGUCCACGCCGUAAACGUUGGAUACUAGGUGUGGCGUCCCGAUUAACGGUCGCCGUGCCGAAGCUAACGCAUUAAGUAUCCCGCCUGGGGAGUACGGCCGCAAGGCUAAAACUCAAAUGAAUUGACGG